GUCCCUCGCCCCCUCCCCGCCAAGCUGGUCGCACUGUUGCCGUUUCACUGCGGCUGACGGAAGGCCAAGGAAGAAAGAGGGUAGAGACGCUGUCGCGAGGAUCAGGCUGCCCUCUCCUUUCCCAGGGACCGUGUUGGGGCCUUCUGACCACCCCGCCCCGCAUCCUGCGCCUCGGAGGCCCAACGUAGCCCAAGACACCCAUGGUCUUGAUGCUCUCCGCCUCUGUCCCAGCCACCAAAGUCCCCGCGAUGGAAUGGAGGACGGGGUGGCCUUGGGCAGAGAAGCGCUUCUUGUGCCGGAUGGAAGGAAACCGUAGCUCUGGCUGUGUUCAUCGCGAAAUGUUUUAUGGAUGUGGAGUGGGUGGGUGGCCCUGAAAAGUCAUUAGUUAAAGCCUUUGCUCGUCAUUGCUCUGGGGUCCACAUAGGAAAUGCCCGUGUCCUGCCUCAUGACCCCUUCCUGUUUCUACUCUUAUUCUACCCAUUACAAUUUGACUUUGCCUGUGUAUAUGUCUCCUCUCCCCUCCCUAACCCUGAGCUCCUGCAGGCGGCAUUGUGCUUUUUCAUCUUGAUAGCUCCCACAGUGCCUGCCUCUGAGAACCUGUUUGCUAAGUGAUUGAGAAGCUGCCAUACCCAAAACGUAGGCACCAACAGGACUUUACUGGCCCUAUCCCAAGAGCAAUUUCCAGAUUCAUUUGUUUUUGUUAAGUCCAGAACCUAUUUUACAUCUUCAUAUUAAUCCCCAUUGGGUUUUUUUUUCUUUUUUACAGCUUCAGGCAGCCUCCAUGCCUGUCUGGAUGAUGUAAAGAGAUCUUGAGGCAGAAAUGAAAGGUGAAUGACACACCUGCCCUGGACACCUGUGCACCUUCCCAGUUCCAGAUCAGGCAGUACCUAGCUCAACUGAGAAAAACAAGACAAGGGCCUAUGUGUGUCUCAGGAAAGGUUAAAAGCUCAGUGCCAAUGCAAGGGAUUUUUACAAGCAAAAGUCUCAUUAUUAAUGAGGCCAGAAAACCAAAAUGACAAUGAUCUUUGAUGAUCUGUACUGACACGCAGGGGAGAGUUUAGCUGUCUUUGAGUUUGCUGCAGUGAAAAGAAAUAUCCCAAGUGUGACUGGGAAGAGAAGACCCGGGACAGGCCAGAAACUGGAGUGAGGAAGAAAGAACCACAGAAUAUUAAUGUAAUGAAUAACUUUCAAGUCCUAUCUGGUCCGUGUCCUGGCAAAGUCCCUUGGGGUCUCUCCCCUGCUUUCCGUUCAUCAGGAUGACUGAGCUCAGUAAUUGUAACAAAGGGAGUGUAGUAGGCAAGGGGACAAAACCCAUAGUAUCCCACCCCUGAUUGACUUAUUAACUCAAUGAACACUUAUUGAAUACCUACGAUAUGCCAGAAGCAGUUCCGGGUACUGGAAAUACAUCAGUGAAUAAAACAGCCACUCAUCCUAGUAAAUCUGCCCAACUGGUGCUUCCACUCUGCGGUGCUUGUGGAUAGUGAUGAGCACCUGGGGAGAUGGGUAAAGGGAGAAAGCUGCCAGGGAAAAAGGAGGCCAAGAGGGAAGGGAGGAAGAUCAGAAAGUUGGGACACAGGCAUAGGAACCUAGGAAGAGCUGACAAAAACAGAGGGCCCAGCCUGAGAGAGGCAGCUGGGUAAAGGUGCAUGGGGCCAGGACUCCCAGCUCUGUGCACUGACCAGCUCGGGAGAGGGGAGCUCAGCCUCAGUCCUGAGGCCUCCAGAGAAUGCCUCACCCUUGCUGAAGGUUUAUUCUAGAACUCUGGGCUCACCUGUUACGUGUACCUCUCUGAGGGAGUCGAUAUGCUGCAGUUA
rnacentral:lncRNA from 1 species